rnacentral:pre_miRNA from 1 species
GUUAAUUAUUAGUAAUAACUUUGGGUGUGUUUGGUAUGAAGAAAAACAUUUUCCGGAAAAUGUUUUUCUUCAUACCAAACACACCCAAAGUUAUUACUAA